rnacentral:rRNA from 1 species
GACGAACGCUGGCGGCGUGCUUAACACAUGCAAGUCGAACGGCAAGGCCCUGCUUUUGUGGGGUGCUCGAGUGGCGAACGGGUGAGUAACACGUGUGUAACCUGCUCUUGACUUUGGGAUAACUUCAGGAAACUGGGGCUAAUACCGGAUAGGAGCUCCUGCUGCAUGGUGGGGGUUGGAAAUUUUCGGCGGUUGGGGAUGGAUUCGCGGCUUAUCAGCUUGUUGGUGGGGUAGUGGCUUACCAAGGCUUUGGCGGGUAGCCGGCAUGAGAGGGUGACCGGGGACAUUGGGACUGAGAGACGGACCAGACUCCAACGGGAGGCAGCAGGGGGGAAUAUUGCACAAUGGGCGGAAGCCUGAGGCAGCGACGCCGCGUGCGGGAUGACGGCCUGCGGGUUGUAAACCGCUUUCGCCUAAGACGAAGCGUGAGUGACGGUAAUGGGUAAAGAAGCACCGGCUAACUACGUG